UAGGUACAACAGGAAACAGAUGAAAACUGUGUGCCGGUCUGGUUCAGGCUAGAAUUUGCCCUCAGCUGUGGGUUUGGCACCAGCUGAGCUUGACAACAUGGAAUGAAGACAAAAGCAGAGCAGACCAGGGUGCACGUGAGGUUAUUCUUCUGGAUACAUGUUGAGCUGUUACAGUCAUAUGAAAGGAGCAGAGUUGAGGGCAGCAGGACAGAAAAAGUAACGCCAGAUGUGGCUGUCAGGAUGAGUGAUUCCAGGCCUUUCCUCACCUGAGAUCUGAGCAGAAAGCGACCAGCCACGCUCCAAGACACAGCUAGCAGCCCUGCACACACAUCAUAAAGGCAUCAUGAGAUGCCCCAAGUAGCUUAAAAUAUUUUUUCUCUGCUAGAAGGUGUUUAUAAAGGCGGUAUGUAAGAUCAAAUAAAUACGUAUACGUA